rnacentral:piRNA from 1 species
UACAAAUAGCGGAGCCACUGGGUGUGUGU